UACAGAGGUCCCGAGCGUUGUUCGGAUUCCCUGGGCGUAAAGGUUGCGUAGGUGGCUUGGUAAGUUUGAUGUGAAAGCUCAGGGCUCAACCCUGAAAUGGCAUUGAAUACUACUGAGCUGGAGGUUUGGAGGGGGGACUGGAAUUCUCGGUGUAGCAGUGAAAUGCGUAGAUAUCGAGAGGAACACCAGGGGCGAAGGCGAGUCCCUGGACAACACCUGACACUGAGGCACGAAAGCUAGGGGAGCAAACAGG
rnacentral:rRNA from 1 species